rnacentral:piRNA from 1 species
UGCCAAUGUGACUUGAAGCCUGGGCAUUGC